rnacentral:lncRNA from 1 species
UUCAAUAGUAAAUUAUAAAAUCAUUAUACUGUUUAGGAAUUUAUUACUAUAGAGGUAGUAUAAGAUUUUAUUAGUUUUCUGUCUAUGUUAGCUGUAUUAUUUCCUAAUUUUUUAGGUGUUAGCAUUUCUUAGUUUGUUACCAAUGUGCCCACACUAGUGAAUAUGUUUGAGCAUAUUUCUGGUUUCCGCAUAAACAUGAUCAGGAGUAGUUGACAGGAAUAAAUGUGGCAGAUAGUAAAGUGAGCAACCUAGGCGAGGC